rnacentral:rRNA from 1 species
AGAGUUUGAUCCUGGCUCAGAUUGAACGCUGGCGGCAGGCCUAACACAUGCAAGUCGAGCGGAUGAAGAGAGCUUGCUCUCUGAUUCAGCGGCGGACGGGUGAGUAAUGCCUAGGAAUCUGCCUAUUAGUGGGGGACAACGCUUCGAAAGGAACGCUAAUACCGCAUACGUCCUACGGGAGAAAGCAGGGGACCUUCGGGCCUUGCGCUAAUAGAUGAGCCUAGGUCGGAUUAGCUAGUUGGUGAGGUAAAGGCUCACCAAGGCGACGAUCCGUAACUGGUCUGAGAGGAUGAUCAGUCACACUGGAACUGAGACACGGUCCAGACUCCUACGGGAGGCAGCAGUGGGGAAUAUUGGACAAUGGGCGAAAGCCUGAUCCAGCCAUGCCGCGUGUGUGAAGAAGGUCUUCGGAUUGUAAAGCACUUUAAGUUGGGAGGAAGG